CCUACGGGAGGCAGCAGUGGGGAAUUUUGGACAAUGGGCGCAAGCCUGAUCCAGCAAUGCCGCGUGAGUGAAGAAGGCCUUCGGGUUGUAAAGCUCUUUUGUCAGGGAAGAAACGGUGUGGGCUAAUAUCCCGCACUAAUGACGGUACCUGAAGAAUAAGCACCGGCUAACUACGUGCCAGCAGCCGCGGUAAUACGUAGGGUGCAAGCGUUAAUCGGAAUUACUGGGCGUAAAGCGUGCGCAGGCGGUUUUGUAAGUUUGUCGUGAAAUCCCCGGGCUCAACCUGGGAAUGGCGAUGAAGACUGCAAGGCUAGAAUCUGGCAGAGGGGGGUAGAAUUCCACGUGUAGCAGUGAAAUGCGUAGAGAUGUGGAGGAACACCGAUGGCGAAGGCAGCCCCCUGGGUCAAGAUUGACGCUCAUGCACGAAAGCGUGGGGAGCAAACAGGAUUAGAUACCCUGGUAGUCCACGCCCUAAACGAUGUCUACUAGUUGUCGGGUUUUAAUUAACUUGGUAACGCAGCUAACGCGUGAAGUAGACCGCCUGGGGAGGUACGGUCGCGAGAUAACUACAAUAGAGUAGAGCGNGAGAGNGCGAGACGACGACGAGGAGAGG
rnacentral:rRNA from 1 species